AUAUUGGACAAUGGGCGCAAGCCUGAUCCAGCCAUGCCGCGUGUGUGAAGAAGGCCUUCGGGUUGUAAAGCACUUUUGUCCGGAAAGAAAUCCAAUCGGUCAAUACCCGGUUGGGAUGACGGUAACGGAAGAAUAAGCACCGGCUAACUUCGUGCCAGCAGCCGCGGUAAUACGAAGGGUGCAAGCGUUACUCGGUAUUACUGGGCGUAAAGCGUGCGUAGGUGGUCCGUUAAGUCUGAUGUGAAAGCCCUGGGCUCCACCUGGGAAUGGCAUUGGAUACUGGCGGUCUGGAGUGCGGUAGAGGGUAGCGGAAUUCCCGGUGUAGCAGUGAAAUGCGUAGAUAUCGGGAGGAACAUCCGUGGCGAAGGCGGCUACCUGGACCAGCACUGACACUGAGGCACGAAAGCGUGGGGAGC
rnacentral:rRNA from 1 species